AUAAGCUUCAUUGUCAAAAGGGUAACAGCCCAGACUACCAGUUAAGGCCCCUAAAUAUUUACUAAGUGAUAAAGGAUGUGGAAUUACAUAUACAAUCAGGAGGUUGGCUUAGAAGCAGUCAUUCCUUUAAAAAGUGCGUAGUAGCUUACUGAUCAAGCAAUUUUGCGCCGAAAAUGAACGGGACUAAGUAAAUUGCCGAAACUGUAGGAUAGUUGAUCUAUCGGUAGAAGAGCGUUUUGUUUUAGUUAGAAGUAAUAAUGCAAAUUUUUAUGGACUAUUCAAAAGUGAGAAUGUCGGCUUAAGUAACGAAAAAAUUGGUGGAAAUCCAAUACCCCGGAAACCUAAGGUUUCCUUCGGAAGGUUCGUCCGCGAAGGGUUAGUCAGAUCCUAAUACGAUAUUGAAAAGUUUAGUAGAUGGAAGAACAGGUUAAUAUUCCUGUACUUUUUGUUAUUUAAUUAAGAGCGACGAAAAAGGCUAAGUUAUCCAAUUCUUGGUUUUUGGUUUAAUUUUUCGAGGUGUUGAGAGUUGUUAGAAAAAACAAUUUGAGCUGAGAUUUAAAAUACGAUGAGCACUAAGGUGUAAAAGUAAUUUAUGUCAUGUUUCCUAGAAAAGCUUUUGUAAUAAUAAAUAAUGAUUAUCUGUACCGUAAACUGACACAGGUGGGUUAGUGUAAUAUACUAAGGGGCGCGAGAGAACUUUUUUGAAGGAACUCGGCAAAAUGGCUCUGUAACUUCGGGAUAAAGAGUGCCUUUUAUUAGGUCGCAGUGAAUUGGUCCGUACGACUGCUUACCAAAAGCACAGGUCUCUGUUAAGUUGUAAAACUAUAUAUGGGGGCUGACGCCUGCCCAGUGCCGGAAGGUUAAAAAAGUUGGUUAGCAAUUAUAUGCAAAGCUAGUGAUUGAAGCCCCGGUGAACGGCGGCAGUAACUAUAACUGUCCUAAGGUAGCGAAAUUCCUUGUCAGGUAAGUUCUGACCCGCACGAAAGGCGUAACGAUACGGACGCUGUCUCAAAAAAAGACUCGGUGAAAUAGAAUUAAGGGUGAAGAUGCUCUUUACUUGCACUUGGACAGAAAGACCCUAUGAAGCUUUACUGUAGCUUGAAAUUGAUUUUGUAUUCUUUUUGCGCAGAAUAAGUGGGAGGCAGUGAUUUGAUCUUUCGGGAAAAUAUGAGCCGUAAAAUGAGAUACCACUCUUUAAGAAUUUGGAAUCUAAUGAUAUUUAUGUUUAUUUUUGAAAGUUUCAGGUGGGCAGUUUUACUGGGGCGGUAGCCUCUUAAAGCGUAACAGAGGCGUACAAAGGUUUUCUCAGUCUAUAUGGAAAUUAGAUGUUGAAUGUAAAGGUAAAAGAAAGCUUGACUGCUAGAAUUAUAAUUCGAGCAGGGACUAAAGUCGGUCUUAGUGAUCCGACAAUUCCGUGUGGAAGGGUUGUCGCAAAACAGAUAAAAGUUACUCUAGGGAUAACAGGCUGAUCUCCCCCAAGAGUUCACAUCGACGGGGAGGUUUGGCACCUCGAUGUCGGCUCAUCGCAUCCUGGAGCAGUAGUAUGUUCCAAGGGUUGCGCUGUUCGCGCAUUAAAGCGGUACGUGAGCUGGGUUCAGAACGUCGAGAGACAGUUCGGUCCAUAUCCGGUGUGAGCGUUGGAGUAUUGAGAAUAGUUUUCCUUAGUACGAGAGGACCGGGAAAAACAUACCUCUAGUGUGCCAGUUUUUGUGCCAACAGAAUACGCUGGGUAGCUAUGUAUGGAGUGGAUAACUGCU
rnacentral:rRNA from 1 species